rnacentral:rRNA from 1 species
CCUACGGGUGGCAGCAGUCGAGAAUUUUUCACAAUGGGCGAAAGCCUGAUGGAGCGACGCCGCGUGGGGGAUGAAGGGCUUCGGCUCGUAAACCCCUGUCAUUUGCGAACAAAGGCGCCAACCUAAUACGUUGUUGUCUGAUAGUAGCAGAAGAGGAAGGGACGGCUAACUCUGUGCCAGCAGCCGCGGUAAUACAGAGGUCCCAAGCGUUGUUCGGAUUCACUGGGCGUAAAGGGUGAGUAGGUGGUGGAUUAAGUCGGGUGUGAAAUCUCCGGGCUCAACCCGGAGCGUGCGCCCGAAACUGAUUCGCUAGAGGAUGGGAGGGGAGACUGGAAUUCUCGGUGUAGCAGUGAAAUGCGUAGAUAUCGAGAGGAACACCGGUGGCGAAGGCGAGUCUCUGGACCAUUCCUGACACUGAAUCACGAAAGCCGGGGGAGCAAACAGGAUUAGAUACCCGAGUAGUC